rnacentral:rRNA from 1 species
AUUGAACGCUAGCGGGAUGCUUUACACAUGCAAGUCGAACGAGUGGCGGACGGGUGAGUAAUAUCUCGGAACGUGCCCCGUGGCGGGGGAUAACUACUCGCAAGGGUGGCUAAUCCCGCAUACAAUUGGAUCGGCCCAUAUCGGAAUAGCUAGUUGGUGGGGUAAAGGCUCACCAAGGCAAAGAUCCGUAGCUGGUUUGCGAGGAUGACCAGCCACACUGGGACUGAGACACGGCCCAGACUCCUACGGGAGGCAGCAGUGGGGAAUUUUGGACAAUGGGGGAAACCCUGAUACAGCCAUCCCGCGUGUAUGAGAAGGCCUUCGGGUUGUAAAGGACUUUGGGCAGGGAAGCGGUAUCUGCAGAAUAAGCACCGGCUAACUACGUGCCAGCAGCCGCGGUAAUUC